rnacentral:lncRNA from 12 species
UGAACGCAUUAAAAUUUUUGGUAUGAUAACAGAAGUUGUUAUUAACUUCUAUUAAAAUUGUUAGUAGCUGUUUUAAGAAUAAAUUACUCCUCAACACUUGCUUUAACAGUUUCACCUGACUUUUUCUAAGGACGUUGAAUUAAUUUAGUGCAAAAUAUAACGAGGCAUGUGUUCGUAUAAUGCAAGUGCAAAGAGGAGAAUUAAAAAGAAAAUGCUGUCUUUGUCUGUUAUUUAAUUUCAGUCCCUUUGUUCAAGAAAAAAUAAGUCUUGAGUGGUGAAGAAUGAAGUUUCAAAGUACUUAUGCUAGUUGUCGUGACAUCUGAGGCACAAAGAAGAGACAGGACAAUUGAAUCUAUAAAGGAUUUAUGAAUCCAAGGGCCAGACUGUCAAAUUCUAGUAACAUUACUCCAAUUGUAUUUCCAUCAGAAAUUGAAUUGGGACAAGGGCAUCACAUCAUGCACAAGAGUGUCUCCAUGGAAGGAGACAUGGACAUCUCUAUCAUUCAAGGGCAGUUUGGGUCCUCUAAGGACAAAGAUAAUAAUGAUGUUUAG